rnacentral:rRNA from 1 species
UUAGGAAUAUUGGACAAUGGGCGCAAGCCUGAUCCAGCCAUGCCGCGUGAGUGAUGAAGGCCUUCGGGUUGUAAAACUCUUUAGCCGAUGAUUAUAAUGACUGUAGUCGGAAAAUAAGCCCCGGCUAACUUCGUGCCAGCAGCCGCGGUAAAUACCGAAGGGGGCGAGCGUUAUUCGGAAUCACUGGGCGUAAAAGCGUGCGUAGGCGGUUUAGUAAGUUAGGAGUGAAAGCCCAGGGCUUAACCUUGGAAUUGCUCUUAAAACUACUAGACUUGAAUCUCGGAGAGGAUAGCGGAAUUUCCAGUGUAGCAGUGAAAUGCGUAGAUAUUGGAAGGAACACCAGUGGCGUAAGCGGCUAUCUGGACGAGUAUUGACGCUGAGGCACGAAAGCGUGGGGAUCAAACAGGAUUAGAUACCCUGGUAGUCCACGCCGUAAACGAUGUGUGCUUGUCGCUGGGGAGUUCACUCUUCGGUGACGCAGCUAACGCGUUAAGCACACCGCCUGGGGAAGUACGGCCGCAAGGUUAAAACUCAAAGGAAUUGACGGGGUCAUAGCUGUUUCCUG